rnacentral:lncRNA from 1 species
CGUUUCUGUUUCAUUUUCAUUUACGUUCAACUGGCGAGAAACUCAAACCGAGUUUUACCUGAGGACUGUUUUUUGCGUAAUGAUCACUUUAUCACAGGACAGCUGGAGACCGCAUGCUGUUUCCAAGGGUUUCUGCCUGGAGGAGGACAACGAGGUGAGAGGUGGGGGAGUCGCCGAGCCUGCAAACUCAACCUACAUUUUUAUGCUCCUUCCACUUAGAAGCAGCGUCAUCUCGGAGGAUGCGAAACGACGCCCUUUCCCUGUUUUCCAGGAAUAUGGGGCCUUCCAGGGAAUUAAGAAGGAUCCAAUCAGAGGAGGUUUGGUGGUUUUCAAAUAAGAGGCGGUGCCGACAGACCCUUGGCACGUAGGCCGUUCCUGGACGGGAGAGGAAAGGCCGCGGGGCGCUGCAGCCCUGGACAUUCUCCUGCACCCCCGGACGCUGUGGCCGCUGCCACUACUAAGCAGAGGGACUCCGGGAGGGUGGCGAUGCACCCGGUGGGGUCUCCUCUCCCACGACCUGGGCAGGUCGGUCCUAGGAUGAAGCGCUGACUUUGAACAAAGACAUCUGGCGUCUGUAGAGACCACGCGAGAGGGAAGAACCACACCCCUUUGGAAGCGUGUGAGCCCUGGGGUUGGCGUUGAGACCUUCCAGUGGGGGUCCCCGGGGAGAGCUAAUGAGUCACAUGGGUGUUAUUGCCAAUAUUCUUAAAGGGGAGCUCAGAGCUGGGCUCUGAGACUAGCCCGGCUGUUAGAAUCCCGUAUCCCUGUUAUCAGAAUAACAGGGGUAAGUCACAUGCUGCGGCCCUGCUGGCUGUGGUCGUGGAUGUGGGUUCAGCUCUCCAGGUUCCCCAGAGUGUGGACUGUUGCUCUGAACACCCCAUGCAGCUGAAAGCCGGCCUCUGUACACCGGCACCGAUUCAGUCUCGGAGACAGAGUUUGGGGUGAAGCAGAAAGAACGGCUUUAGUGCUUUGCCAGGCAAAGGAGGCCACAACAGACUAACGCCUCAAACCUGUGUCCUCCCUUGAGAGGGGACAGCAAGGGAUCUUAGAGGUUUCGCUUGAAAACCAGGGCUGUGGAUAAGGGUCAGGGAGCCUGCAUUCUUCUCCCUCCAGAGAUGAUUUCAAAGUUGUCAAGGCUGCAGUCGGAUGGUCCGGUGACAGUUUCUGGCGUCGUUGGGGUUAUGGCAUCUUGACCUUCUCUCUGCAGUGAAGACUGCUUAUGAAAGGAAGGGGGCGUUAGGGAAUAUUUCAAAGGAGAAAAGCUACCAGAUUGCAAAGAAAAGAAGGAACAUCUGUGAAAGGGGAAUCGAGCAAGGGAGUAAAAUCAUUUAGGCGAA